rnacentral:rRNA from 1 species
GUGUCAGCAGCCGCGGUAAUACGAAGGGUGCUAGCGUUGUUCGGAAUCACUGGGCGUAAAGCGCGCGUAGGCGGCUUUUCAAGUCAGGGGUGAAAUCCCACAGCUUAACUGUGGAACUGCCUUUGAAACUGUAAAGCUAGAAUGUGAGAGGGGAGUGUGGAAUUCCUAAUGUAGAGGUGAAAUUCGUAGAUAUUAGGAGGAACACCUGUGGCGAAAGCGGCACUCUGGAUCACAAUUGACGCUGAGGCGCGAAAGCAUGGGUAGCAAACAGGAUUAGAUACCCCCGUAGUCC